UACAGAGGUCCCAAGCGUUGUUCGGAUUCACUGGGCGUAAAGGGUGCGUAGGUGGCUUGGUAAGUUUGAUGUGAAAUCUCCGGGCUUGACCCGGAAAUGGCAUUGAAUACUAUUGAGCUGGAGGUUUGGAGGGGGGACUGGAAUUCUCGGUGUAGCAGUGAAAUGCGUAGAUAUCGAGAGGAACACCAGUGGCGAAGGCGAGUCCCUGGACAACACCUGACACUGAGGCACGAAAGCUAGGGGAGCAAACAGG
rnacentral:rRNA from 1 species